CCCAGACUCCUACGGGAGGCAGCAGUGGGGGAUAUUGGACAAUGGGGGGAACCCUGAUCCAGCGACGCCGCGUGAGUGAAGAAGUAUCUCGGUAUGUAAAGCUCUAUCAGCAGGGAAGAAGAAAUGACGGUACCUGAGUAAGAAGCCCCGGCUAACUACGUGCCAGCAGCCGCGGUAAUACGUAGGGGGCAAGCGUUAUCCGGAAUUACUGGGUGUAAAGGGAGCGUAGACGGUGAUGUAAGUCUGGAGUGAAAGGCGGGGGCCCAACCCCGGAACUGCUUUGGAAACUGUGCGGCUGGAGUGCAGGAGGGGUAAGCGGAAUUCCUAGUGUAGCGGUGAAAUGCGUAGAUAUUAGGAGGAACACCGGUGGCGAAGGCGGCUUACUGGACUGUAACUGACGUUGAGGCUCGAAAGCGUGGGGAGCAAACAGGAUUAGAUACCCGGGUAAU
rnacentral:rRNA from 1 species